UGGGCCUCACUCCAGCCGCGGGGGAAUCAGCCCCUUUUUACAGAGGAGGAAACUGAGGCAGGCAGGUUAGCCAGACAGCUAGUAAGGGGCCUGUCUGAUGCGGGACUCAAACACAUCUUCCUCACCGAAGCACAAGGUUCUGACCGCAGCUUGAAACGGGGGAGUUGCAAGGAGCUGGGGGGUCAGAGGGGUGAGCCGUCCUGAGACAGAAAGAUGGGAAAUGAGCAUCUCUACUAGGACCCCUCCAGAAACAGGAUUGGGAGGGGCGGAGCAAUCAGGAGAGGAGUCCUUGGCCCCAUUUCCCAGACACCUGGAUGGGUUUGGGCCAACCUGCCCAACAGAGCUGGAUCCUGGGAACGUAUUGUGUGGCAGUACUAGCAUUGCACGGUCUGCCUGUGAUUCCUUUGAUUUCCUUUGUCUUGAAAAGAUCUAGCCUCCAUCCUCUUCUUUCUCCUCAUCCCUUGCUCUUUUGCAUCUACCCCCACCCUGGGACCCCCAAAGAAUAAUCAACCCGACAAUCUGUUUCAGUGGCAGGGCCUGGAAGCAGCUUGUCUCCUAACAUAAGGUCUACCUUGGGUCCCCUCCAGGCAAAAGGAGGUCAAACCAGGUCAUGCUCCCAGCGCUCCGAGUCCUGAAGUCUUUGGCAGUCUUCCAGUGUAUAUACAGUGUUGCCCAGGUUCUGCCAACGAUCCCAUGGAGGAGUACCUUGGCCAUUCUUCACUCUAGCCAGGGGCAGUGUGGCAUAACGGCAUUGGAUUUGGAAUUGAUGCACCUCAAGACACCAGCUCUCCUCCUCUCUACCAGUUCUACCUUGGUAAUUUCAAUAAUAAUAAUAAUGAUGAUGAUGAUGAUGAUAUCCAG
rnacentral:lncRNA from 1 species